GGGCCGCGGUAUUUUGACCGUGCAAAGGUAGCAUAAUCAUUAGUUUUUUAAUUGAAAGCUGGAAUGAAUGGUUGGAUGAAAAAUGGACUGUCUCAGUUUAAUAUAAGUAGAAUUUAAUUUUUAGAUUAAAAAGUCUAAAUUUUAUUAAAAGACGAGAAGACCCUAUAGAGUUUAACAUAGCAUUAUUAGUAAUAUUUAAUUGGAAAAAAGUUAAUGUAUAAUAGUCUUAUGUUUGAUUGGGGUGAUUAAAAAAUUUAGUUAACUUUUUUUAUGUAUAUACAUUGAUUUAUGAGCUUUUGAUCCAAUAAUAUUGAUUAAAAGACUAAAUUACCUUAGGGAUAACAGCGUAAUCACUUUUUAGAGUUCUUAUCAGAAGAGUGGGUUGCGACCUCGAUGUUGGAUUAAAAUAGGCUUUAGGUGUAGUGGCUUGAUAAAGCUUGGUCUGUUCGACCAUUAAAUUUUUACAUGAUC
rnacentral:rRNA from 1 species